CGCAGGGCCGCAGCCGCCAUGGCCGCGCUGCACGCCAAGGCCGGCGGACCUCCGCAGAUCCCCGAUACCCGGCGGGAGCUGGCCGAGCUGGUGAAGCGCAAACAGGAGCUGGCGGAGACGCUGGCCAACCUGGAGCGGCAGAUCUACGCGUUCGAAGGCAGCUACCUGGAGGACACGCAGAUGUACGGCAACAUCAUCCGCGGAUGGGACCGUUACCUCACCAACCAGAAGAACUCCAACAGCAAAAACGACCGCAGGAACCGCAAGUUUAAGGAGGCUGAGCGGCUCUUCAGCAAAUCCUCGGUCACUUCUGCAGCGGCUGUCAGUGCGUUAGCUGGAGUUCAGGAUCAGCUCAUUGAGAAGCGUGAACCGGGCAGCGGGACGGAAAGCGACACCUCUCCAGACUUCCACAAUCAGGAGAAUGAACCCAGCCAGGAGGAUGCUGAGGAGCUGGAUGGAUCUGUGCAGGGGGUGAAACCCCAAAAAGCCGCUUCCUCCACUUCUGGGAGCCACCACAGCAGCCACAAAAAACGGAAGAACAAAAAUCGGCACAGGUCAGUGGCACCAGCAGCCUUCUAGUAGCGCACUGGGAAUGGUUAGCUCUUGUUGAACGGGCUUAAUUAUGUGAAGGGAGCUGAUAAGUUGAGAGCAUAACAAAGUGUUCAGGUCGUUUGGUGACAUCACUUGCUUGGAAGCUGUGUGCAGCCUGUGCUCCUGCUGUGUCAGGGAGGGGAAGGCAUGAGAGGCAGCUCAACAGUCAGCACAGGGUACUCACAGCUCAGAGACGGUGGUGUUUUUGACCAGGCCUUGUCGGUUCUUUUCUCUUUCAAGCAGAAUAAAGCUGUCUUCCCUGCAGUAGAGGAAGAUUACAGUCCUGGUCUCCUGUGAUUGUUCCUUGGUUUCUACAGAGCCAAGGAAGAUAGGAAUGUCACUGCUUUCUCUGGAGAAGGAGGAUGGGAAAACAACUUAGAGUGUUUUGGGGGCUGCUGACUCUCAGUGUCUUUACUACAUUUUCUACUCCAAACCUUUUCUGUUGUCAUGUCCCAGAGUCGUUUGAUUACAGCGUGUACAAGUUGCUUUAUCACACAGACCACUAGUUUUUGUUAUUAAACUGCCCUGAAAUUCACGUGAAACAGCUCUCCUGAACUCUUUAUGAUUGAAUUUAGGCGACCACUUCUACCCCUUAAGGCGUGCCUUCAAGGCACAGUGGGCUGAAGGCCCAGAAAUUGGGAAUCAUUGAAUUCCAGAGCUGCUUUCCCUGGCUCAGUGUAACCUGCACAUUAGGUAUCAUUACUGAGCUGGUUGGCUUUGGAUCCGGGUGGAGGUUCCUCUUUGAGGAGCCUUCCCAUUCAAUUGCAAAUGUUUUAAAUAGCAGCGAUAGAUGUCACAGAGACUGCUGGGAAAAGGUCUGAGAGACACCGAGGUAGGUACAGUGCCUGCAAACUAAUUAACUACUGCUUCUUCUUAGUUAGGUUUUCUGUCAUUAGCAUUUUUAAUUGCUAGGUCAGGAUUUUCUUCCCGCAGCAGCCUUCAUCAGGCACACAUCCCAAAGUGUUGGAUGUCCUUUUUGGUUCCUCCUGAGCUAGGAACCAGAAGCAGUUCAGAAGUGUUUUUUAGCCUGCAGACAGUUGGGAGGAAGGCCAGAAGUAGCAGAGUACAUCUCUAAACCACUUCAGAGAAGCAGUCUGUACAACUGAGGUACAGCAUGAGAGCAGAUUACAGAGCACUGCUGAGCACUUAGAUGGAGCACGAAGCAAUCUGCUGCAGGACAGUGGGGGCCGGUGCAAAUGCCAUAAAUAAUAUAAACUCUUUUGCUCCAUUACAUAACCCAAACUGUAGUGAUGAGAGUUAGGAAGAAACUGCCCUACUGCAAGCUUGUGUGGCUUUGGGCUUUCUUCUGCAUGCCUUCCUGUGAAGCAGCUGAUACGGGCUACUGUUGGAGACAGAAUAUUGGACAUGAGGAGCCCUGGUCUGCACUGGUAUGGCAAUUCUUAUCAUCCUAAGAGAUGCAUCCAAGUACAGAAAGGAUUUUGCAGAUAUUGUGUAAUGCUUAACAAGGCCAGGUAGUGGAAAGUAAUUACGUUGGUCUGCAAUGCAAACUGUUAGAAGUUGUGAUUGCUGCUAACGACUGUCCCCUAAAUUUCAGCAGAAGAGCCCAAAUGAUCUUCAAGGUUUGAACCAAACAAAAGCCAGUCUCAAUCUUUUUAAUGGCACAGCUCAUUCAGAAGCUCUUUCAUUUCCAGCAUGCGUUUGAGUUCUGCUCACCUGUUCCUGAAGGACUGGGAGGUGCUGGGAAUGGAUGCUCUGAAGGUGCACUGACUCCACGUAGCUCCAGUUUUUCUCACUCUUGUGCCACCAGUGGCAGCGAGGAGAGUUGGAUUCAGAUUGAGCAGAGCUUGUGUGAAUAGCUGGUUUAAUUCCUGACAAUUAAAGCAGGAGAUCACGUGGCAGUGUUUUAUUGAAGCCACCCUCUGUUCCCUCAGACCACAGAAGGCCCAGAUGAUGAUUCUCAUGGCUAAAAAGUGUUUCAGGGGAAAACAGCCCUCCUUCCUUUUAGAGACCCAGUGCUGAGAAGCGCCAAGCAGAGCAGUGAGCUUUGGGGCAGAGCGCAGUGCCAUCAGUGCUGGGUGCUGACAGGUGGGGUGGGAAUGCAGCAAGCCAUGGUUGGACUUGAGAGCUCCCAAAGGGAUGUUUGGGUGCAAGGGGAGUGGGGCGUGCAUUGAGGGAGCAUCGAGCGCCUGCGUGGCCACGCAGCUUCAUGGUUGUCUCCACCUCUGCCUGAACAAGCUUUGCUUUGCUCAGUAAUCCAGCCAAAGCCACUGCUUCCUGACCACCCGUUGGGUUCUGUGAGCAAAUCCAUGCUUUGAUCUGUGAGCUCUGCAGCCCUCAGCACGCAGCACUCCCUGCGUAACACCGCUCCUAACACCUCCAUCCCCACCAUCCACCUGGGGCUGGGGCUCUGUCAGAUCUGCAGUGCUUCUUAUGUUGUUGUUGUUGUGCCCCGUUCUGGUUCAAGAACCUUCAAGUUACCUUUUGGAACUUUGUGGCAUUUUGAACACUGGCUUUCAUUUGUUUAUUUACUUAUUUAUUUGUAGUAUUCUCGCUAGGGUGGCUAAUCGACUAAUUUAUUUAAUUCGUUAGUGUAUUAAUUUCUAUUGCUUUCUUCCUUUCAAAUGCUGCCCCUCAGCCCGUCUGGCAUGUUUGAUUAUGACUUUGAGUAAGUUUGACUUGAAUUAGUACUUGUGCUGUGUUGUUAGUGUGUAGACACCAAUGUGCCUUUUGAGACCUUUCUAACCCAUAGUUUAUCUGUUUAAUUGUAGGUAUGUAUAUUAGGUUAGGCUGGGAAGUUUUUUUAAAAAACAGAAAAGCGUGAUGGAGGAUUGAUCUCAAGUUAAACAAAAAGCCGAGAGCUG